GACGAACGCUGGCGGCGUGCUUAACACAUGCAAGUCGAGCGGUAAGGCCCUUUCGGGGGUACACGAGCGGCGAACGGGUGAGUAACACGUGGGUGACCUGCCUUUAGCUCUGGGAUAAGCCUGGGAAACUGGGUCUAAUACCGGAUAUGACUCCAUGAUGCAUGUUGUGGGGUGGAAANCCUUGUGCGGCUGGAGAUGGGCCCGCGGCCUAUCAGCUUUGUUGGUGGGGGUGAGGCCCUACCAAGGCGACGACGGGUAGCCGGCCUGAGAGGGCGACCGGCCACACUGGGACUGAGACACGGCCCAGACUCCUACGGGAGGCAGCAGUGGGGAAUCUU
rnacentral:rRNA from 1 species